UACGUAGGUGGCAAGCGUUGUCCGGAUUUACUGGGCGUAAAGAGCGCGCAGGCGGCCGAGUCAGUCGAAUGUGAAAGCCCCCGGCUCAACUGGGGAGGGUCAUUCGAUACUGCUCGGCUUGAAGAUAGGAGAGGGAAGCGGAAUUUCAGGUGUAGUGGUGAAAUGCGUAGAUAUCUGAAGGAACACCAGUGGCGAAGGCGGCUUUCUGGCCUAUUCUUGACGCUGAGGCGCGAAAGCUAGGGGAGCAAACGGG
rnacentral:rRNA from 1 species